GAUAACAGGUUGAUCUUCCCCAAGAGUUCACAUCGAUGUGAAGGUUUGGUAUCUUAUUGUUGACUCUUUGCCACCUAGGGUAGUCAUAUGUUUUAAAGGUUGGUUUGUUCACCCAUUAAAGUGAUAUGUGAUCUAGCUUAGGCAUUUCUCAAAUAUGCU
rfam:Picea glauca, whole genome shotgun sequence.